ensembl:lncRNA
AGCUGCCUGAGAGAGCGCUGGCUGCGUGGAAGCUCCCCUCAGCCCCUGUUCUUACUUUUUGAUUGUUUUCAUUAUUAUUAUUAUUAUUAUUUUUUUUUAAGUUGGGAGCAGGCUUGCUGUGUACUUUUUUCCUGUUAGUUGAAAAGUUGGAGUGGAUGUGAAAAGUCCAUUAAAAGUUUCCCCAGUUAGAGAUACAGCUGGAGUGGAGCAGGGACCAGCUGGGGUGUGUUGCUCGAGCUCUCAUCUCUCUGUCAGAGAGUCUCCUAAGAGAAAGCAGACAUCUCCAGACGAGAUCCUCUGCCAGCAAUACAGCUUCUGUAUAGCUGCCUACUUGAGAGACUUUGAAAUUGUUCACCGGUAACUUUCCUGGCUUUAUCUGCAACUUGCUGCUUGCCACCCAUGUUAUGCUGAGUCUCAUCAUUUCACUGUAAAUGUACAGAAGCACCCUGAUUUAUCGGCUGUAAGCGGGGAAGCCCUUGAGAUGGCACUUGGUAGACAGGCAAGGUAUGUGAAUGCAGAUUAAUUCUGUUUCUGUCAAGUAUUUGUUUGUUAUUCUUGGGAAAGCAACUAGACCUUUUAUUUAUGUAUUAACUUUACGUAGCUAUGUUUGUCUGUGUAACAUUUGUGAUAUGAUUAAAACCAUUCCUCUUCAGCUCUUUCCUCAUUGUAUUGGUUACAAGCUUAACGUUUUAGCUGGCUUGAAAAGCCAAUCACACCUUCUCUAUGAUACAGAUGCUCUACUCUUACCUCAUAAGAACUGUAUCAACUUGAAACUGGAAAGAAAAGUCACUUAGUAAGUAGCAAUUAUCUGGCUCAAGAUCCUUAUGCGACAUUAGAUAUUUUGUAUGCUAUAUUCUAUUGGUUUAUUACCCAUACUUCAAAAACAUGUUAUUUUUAGUUCGAGUGGAUCUGGGUUCACUUCUCAGCUGUUAACUUCAACAGGAAAACUUCCUGGUGUUACUGGGCACAAGAUUCAGAUACAUAAUUUCUAAGAUUCUUCUCUGGAAGCUUGCAAAAUUAAUUUCUCUUUGAUUCAUAUUUAUCAUCGCUGUGUUUUGAGCUGUGAAUUUACUAACAGGAAGUCUAAUACCAUUUUCCAUAUUUUCCCUCAUAUCACUUGUCUUCUCUGUCUUCAGAGCUAUUUUUAUCACAGCUACUGUGUUUACAACUGCAGGUGGCCUGCUCCAGAGCUUUUAGUUUUAAUAAACCAUUUCCUGCAAUUUAUGU